rnacentral:lncRNA from 1 species
GUUAAACCCAGAUAUGACUGAGGAUGGGAGAAAGGACACUAGAAAUCAGAAGUAUAAAUGCAACUGUGGAGGCUGGGAAGUGUCCAUGGGUUGAUCCCUUUGUGAAUUACAUGGAGCUGACCGGGCUGAAACCCUCAGUGACCCAGAUGAGGAUUGAAGCUUGUGCUGAAAGAGUGGCUGCCCCCCCAAACAUGACAAGGCCUGAGAUGUCAUAA